CCCUGACAAAUUCGAAUGCUUUUGUUUAUCAGCCAAUGAUGUCCUCUUACAACCUGAGGAAACUUUAAAUUGUAAUUUACCAGAUGCAGAGGAAGUUGUGGCAAUCACUGAGGCAUCACUUUCAGGCGAUGAAGCUUCUCAUGGCAAUGAUUCAUCAUUGGACAUGAGUUGGUCAAAAGUUCUUAGAGUUAGGACCAUACAUAUAAGUUCUCCAAUUCUUGCAGGAAAAAGUCCCUUCUUUUACAAGGAUGUGUAAUAUUUCAAUGAGAAGAAUAUUAAGUUCUUUUUUUCUCUUCUCCAAGAAUUGAUUGUAUGAGCUGAAGGUUUUUGUUGCUUUGUCCACCCUCUCCUUUAAUUUGUAGACUUUAUAAUGCUUGUUAGUUUUUUAAUGUACAACUGUCAGCUAAAGCAUUUUUCCUUUUUAAAUUACCAUUGGAUCAGAAGAGGCUUCCGUUAUA